GCAUGGCCUUUAUAUCUUGGGCUACACACACGCUACAAUGGAUGGCACAAUAGGUUGCAACAGCGCGAGCUGAAGCUAAUCCCCAAAGCCAUCCUCAGUACAGAUUGCAGGCUGAAACCCGCCUGCAUGAAGUCGGAGUUGCUAGUAACCGCAAAUCAGCAUGUUGCGGUGAAUACGUUCUCGGGCCUU
rnacentral:rRNA from 1 species